GACGAACGCUGGCGGCGUGCUUAACACAUGCAAGUCGAGCGGAGCGGCGAACGGGUGAGUAACGCGUGAGUAACUGCCCCCAUCUCUGGGAUAACAGUUGGAAACGGCUGCUAAUACCGGAUAGUGGGGGAUGACUCGGGUCCUAUCAGCUUGUUGGUUGGGUAGGGGCCUACCAAGGCGAAUACGGGUAGCCGGCCUGAGAGGGCGACCGGCCACAUUGGGAUGAUGUACGUCUCCAACUCCUGCGGGAGGCAGCAGUGGGUAAUAUGGAACAAUGGUGGAAACCCUGAUGCAGCAACGCCGCGUGCGGGAUGACGGCCUUCGGGUUGUAAACCGCUUUCAGCCAUUACGCGGUAGUGGCAGAAGAAGCACCGGCGAACUACGUGCCAGCAGCCGCGGUAAUUC
rnacentral:rRNA from 1 species